GACGAACGCUGGCGGCGUGCUUAACACAUGCAAGUCGAACGGAAAGGCCCUGCUUUUGUGGGGUGCUCGAGUGGCGAACGGGUGAGUAACACGUGAGUAACCUGCCCUUGACUUUGGGAUAACUUCAGGAAACUGGGGCUAAUACCGGAUAGGAGCUCCUGCUGCAUGGUGGGGGUUGGAAAGUUUCGGCGGCUGGGGAUGGACUCGCGGCUUAUCAGCUUGUUGGUGGGGUAGUGGCUUACCAAGGCUUUGACGGGUAGUCGGCAUGAGAGGGUGACCGGCGACAUUGGGACUGCGAUACGGCCCAGACUCCUACAGGAGGCAGUAGUGGGGAAUAUUGCACAGUGGGCGGGAGCCUGAUGCAGCAACGCCGCGUGCGGGAUGACGGCCUUCGGGUUGUAAACCGCUGUCGCCUGUGACGAAGCGUGAGUGACGGUAAUGGGUAAAGAAGCACCGGCUAACUACGUG
rnacentral:rRNA from 1 species